rnacentral:tRNA from 1 species
AGCAAAAUCAAAACUGGUCAAAACCGUCAAAAGAUAAUGCCAGGUUUUCCUAAACCUUAGGUCGCAGGUUCGAGUCCUGCCGGGCGCACCA